GGUCCUAUGGGGUAGUGGUUAUCCCACCGGAUUUUGAUGAACAAUAUACAUAUCCUGUAUAUGUAUAGGAAGAUCGAAGCUUCCGGUAACGCCGGUUCGAAUCCGGCUAGGACCU
rfam:Aspergillus parasiticus ST-1 481, whole genome shotgun sequence.